rnacentral:misc_RNA from 1 species
AAAUGCGAUAAUUAAUGUGAAUUGCAGAAUUCAGUGAAUCAUCGAGUCUUUGAACGCACAUUGCACCCCCUGGUAUUCCGGGGGGUAUGCCUGUCCGAGCGUCAUUGCUGCCCUCAAGCCCGGCUUGUGUGUUGGGUCCUCGUCCCCCCCCGGGGGACGGGCCCGAAAGGCAGCGGCGGCACCGCGUCCGGUCCUCGAGCGUAUGGGGCUUUGUCACACCGCUCUCGUAGGCCCGGCCGGCGCUGGCCGACGCUGAAAAGCAACCAUUAUUUCUCCAGGUUGACCUCGGAUCAGGUAGGGAUACCCGCUGAACUUAAGC